CCUACGGGUGGCAGCAGUAGGGAAUUUUCGGCAAUGGGGGAGACCCUGACCGAGCAACGCCGCGUGAACGAUGACGUUAUUCUGAGUGUAAAGUUCCUUUUACAGGGGAGAAAGAGAAAUUUGACGGUAGCUGAAGAAUAAGCUCCGGCUAACUACGUGCCAGCAGCCGCGGUAAUACGUCGGGAGCGAGCGUUAUCAGGAAUUAUUGGGCGUAAAGGGUGCGUAGAAGGCAUAUUAAGUCUUUUGUAAAAAUGCUGGGCUCAACCCAGUAGGGCAAAAGAUACUGGAAAGCUAGAGUAUGAUAGAGGCAAGUGGAACUAGAUGUGUAGCGGUAAAAUGCGUAAAUA
rnacentral:rRNA from 1 species